rnacentral:lncRNA from 1 species
AAUAGGAUCAUCCCAGAAAGAAGUCCUGUCUUACUCAUGAAAGAUAGUAUCAUCUUCAAUGGGACUGUAAAAAAAUGUUUCAGUGCAGGAAAAUGCAAAGCUAGAUGAUCAUAUCUUUGCCUCGAAAGACCAUGCAUUAACAGAAAAUAUGGAGGAAUUUCAUAUUCUCCAUCACACAUACAGUUAGGACUAUUAGAAAUUCCAGUUAAAUAAAGAUGCUUUCUAAGAUGACAGUGCUCUAUAAAGAGCCUGUUACAAUUCUAACUUGAUUUUUAGGCAAUGCAAGCAACUCCAAUUCUCUGUAAAGGAGGAUCUAAAAUAAGAGCCGUUGGAAACUUCCAUCUUCAGCUUAACACAAAAUCGAACAUAGAAUACAACAAUGAAUGUAUAACAGUUAUACAUUUAUUUAGCCCAUUUGCUGCUGUUGAUUUGAUUGGAAGCUGGCCUAUUGAUGGGAUUUCCCAUGUGAAGUUGGAAAGAGUAGUUCCAACUUUGCACACGAACCUAAAAAUGCAUUUUGAAAUUUAAUUACUAACCUAACCUAAAAAGCUUUUUGAAAUUUAAUCAUUGUAUAUUGUAGAUUAUACUUAUUGCUAUCAAAUACUGAUUAAAAAAUUUUUCC